GUCGCCAUCUUUCUUUCUCAUACGCGGCAUCGCAGUUCAUAUCGGUGGUACCGGCGUAUCUCCCGCGGCACGGAUCCAGUCUGUCGCGACGUCGCGAUUUCGUGCAGAAGAAAUCUCCCAUCCGGAAAGGCAUUGGCCGGAGACGGAUUGAGAAAGAAGUCUGCCAGCGAGACUCGUGGAGGCGGGGAGGGAGGAGAAGGGGGAGUGGAAAGGAGCGGAACAGCGGGACGGCGCGGAAUUCUAUUCCUCCGUUCCUUGUAUUCGGCACCGGUCCACCUUCCAGAGUUCCAGUAGUGCAGCCUUCCGAUAUAUCCGACCGCGCGCGAUCAACAUGGAUGUGGUAAAUUCCGUUGCUGCGCAUCGUAUUGGUGAGUCAAAUAGCAUUUUAUUCUAAUUUAGGAUAAUGAAUCUAUGAACACUUGGAUUUUUUUUUAUUAAGAAUUAUAGAAUAUAUUACAAUUCAAUAAAUAUCUCUCAUAGAUUCAAUAUCUAAAAAAAUAGGAUAUAAUAUGAUAUAGUUUACACUUUUAUGGAAUGUCGCAAAGUAAAGGACUACUUCAAUUUCUAUAUGAAUAAUACGUAAAUUUUUAAUACGUAUUAGAUGAGUGACAUUUAUGUUUUUAUAAAAAAAAUUAUUAUAUACAUCGUGUUAAGUAUAAUAAUAAAAAAAAAGUGAUUUUAUACACUCACAAUAUCGAACUCUAACAAUUUCGGACAAGACGUCGUAAAUUGUCGUCGUUUUGUAAUUGCGGCAAAGGGGCGUUUUGCCAGGCGAGUAAUUAAAAUCGUAUUUCAAUAUUCUGCCAGCGAGAGAGUAUCCCCGCCGAUUAUUCCGACUGCUCGAUUACAAGGCGCCGUGAGAACAUCGGAUUCCAGGUGUCGGAGUUCCCGUGUGUGCGCAUAUUAUUAUUUCGAUAAUAAUACUAAUUAAGGCGCCUCCAGCCGCUCGUAAUAACACUUUGCACGUAAUGCGCGCUCCUAAUCCGUAGCGGCAUAUGGUCCAACAUGCGAGAUAUCUCGCGCGCGCGGCGUGAUCGCAAUCAUCGCCAACGUUCUUCUUCUCGCUCUCUCGCGCAUUAAAUUCGCCAUUAAAACGCGUGUCCGCCGUUUACCAUGGAUGCAUGUACAUACAUUGCGGUACGGGCUUCCGAUCAGUUGUAGGUCGGAAUAAAGGAAUUAAGAACUUGAUUUACGAGUACUUUCAUGAAUAUUACUUUCCAUACUGUGCACGCACGUUUUGAUUCGUUUUGCAUUCAUCUUUUUUGUUUAAUUGAAAAGGAUUUUUAUUUAUUGACAAAAGGAAAAUAUGCAUGGUUGUUACAAGUUGCACAUAUAUACUAAUUUUUUUGCGAGAACAAAAUGUCCACGAUUCCGCUCGUAAAAAAAUAGAAAAACUUUAAAAAUAUCAAAGUGUUAAUAUAAACAUUUUGUUACGAGUUAUUUUUUUUUAUUUAUCGUUGUUAAUGGCACGACUGUUACCGUGAACAUUAUCGAAGUCCGUCAAUUAAAAAUCCAAUGCUCUUAAAAUCGAUUUUCCUGAACCGUCGUCGUCGACAUAUCUCACCGCUCGCAUCUCCCUCGUUAGCUGUGCGAGCGGAAAGUUGUUAAGUUAUUCGUUAUCCUAAUUAUGCACAUAAUAAAUUACAUGCAAGAACGGCCGUCACACUCGAAUACGCCAUGUGGAUUACCUGGUUACGUGUAUAUGUCGGCCCAUCCAUCGACCGAUGUGAUAUACGUAGAGAGUAGGUCGCGAUGCACGUGUUGCAGACGUAUCCGCCCGAGCACGCACUCUUGGGCUGAGAAUUCUAAGAAACGCGAUAUCGAGUGGAUUCGUCGACGUGCACUUUCGUACGCGAGCUUCCGCUGCAUUCUUUUGCAUCGGUUAAUUAGAUGCUCUAUCUUUACGGUAAUUAAAUCACUUUUUACUCGAUUAAUUAGUAGUCAGCUCGCUUUGCCGCGGAGAGGACGAGUUACAAGGAGCAGCUUCUUGUUAUAUUUCUUCUCGUUACAAGUAUAUUUCUCGUUCGUUUGUCUAUGUUAAUGCUGUCAAAAUAAAUUUAUAAUGUGAGAUAUUCAUAUACCGAUAAGGAUAAAUAAUUUAUUCAUGUGGUUUACUGUCAUCUUUUUCUUGCUCUCUUUCUCUUUGGAAAUUGGAAACAUAUAAUCUCUUUCUUUCUCUCUCCCUCUCUAAUUUCUAUAAUUAUUAAUUGAGAAUAUUUUAAAGAAAAUGUAAUUAAAGAUAUUAAGAUUAUAUUAUCCGAAAUUGAGUUUUGUAGCUACCAAAUAUUAAUAUUAAGAGAUUUUUUUUAUUUUGGGAUGAAACUUUAAUCGAAACGCAAAAUUAUAGUUAUUUUACUGUUGAAAACAAUUGGUUUAAAUAAUAUUUUGCUUUGAUAUUUUGAAUUACCACAAUGUUAUUAUAAGAUGUUGUUAAUGUUAUCUGUAUUGAAUAUGCUAUUAAUGGAAACGCGAUGGUUCUUGAAAACACCUAGCUUUCAGAGUGCUUGUGAGGGACUACAACGUCUCGCACGUAUGCGAGAUGAAUAAAUUAACAAGAGAAAAUCGUGCAACCGUUAUCGCUUGCGAGUUUAGUUUGUUAUCAAUUUUAUUAUAAUACUCUUGUUAAAAACCUUUUUACUAUAUGUGUAUGUUGUAUAACAUCGAGAAAGCGAAACAAUUGCAAUAUUGAUAAAUAUUUCUCAAAAUGACGUAAUUGUACAAAGCAAUUAUGUUUAAUUUCCACUGAGUUUUUUAAUUUAAUUGCUCCAAUACUAUAUAAGAAGUAAUUGAAAAGAACAUCUUAAUGAUAACAUAUAAUGAUAUUAAGUAUGCAAAACAUCCAAU
rnacentral:misc_RNA from 1 species